GUGUGUGUGUGUGUGUGUGUGUGUGUGUGGAUGCAUGCGUGCAGGUUUUCAUUGCUUGCCAACACACAGCGGAUGAUUUCACUCAUGAACACAUGGAACCUUUAAUGAAAUGGGAGGCUCACUGAGAUCAGCUGCUUGGUGGGACUGACAAAUUUAAACAUACACACACACACACACACACACACGGCUGACACUGGCUCAUGUGAGGAGGCCAUAUGUGUGUUAUGUUAAAUUUGGGAAACAUGGAGGAUAGAAGGAAAUGAUGGAGCCAUUUGUGGGGGUGUUUUUAUUCCACGUACAUAAGCACAAUAUGUUAGAAAUGAGCAAUAUUUAUUAAGAGCAGCUAAUGAGGCUGUUUUUUUGUCCUAGGUAGCUUACUAAUGUUGGCCCCUUGGUGCCCUGAUUAAAGCUUCCAGUGAGCUGCAAUCAUUUUAGUUUUAAUCUUUUCCUAGACAUAUCAUUAUAUAGGCUUUUCAUUCUUUUCGUACUUCAGCGUGCCUUGGACGUCCGUACAAGGUUGUCUUAACUAGAGCUCCAACAUCUGUAAGCUACUUUUACAAAGAUGGGCCUUCUUGUUUGGUUCUGCAGGAGAUAUAUUACUUUUAGUUUUAUUAAAAGCAACAAAUUAUUUGUGAGCAGGCACAAAGCAUGUCUUAGAUUUGAUGGAAUUUGUAGAUUGUAAUAAUUUACAGUUAAAGUGUGUACAAUAAUUGUGCUCCCAAAUCUUAGCAUCAACUACAAAUAUAGGGAGCAAGUUAGUGUUUGUGCUGCAUUUAGAAGCUCAGAUGAGAGUAUAUGCUUUUGAGUUGUAUGCCAAAGCCGUUGAUAAAAACAGUUUGACCAACAUAAAGGAUAUGGUACAAAUGUGUCAAACUGUGUAACUGGUAUAAGUAUAACUCUGCGUACAAUUAUUUAUGUUGUCAUGUAAAGAUGUAAUGUAUCUGCUGUUUGCCUAUACUGUCAACAGUGGGUAGUUUUUCGCUCUGUUUUCAUCAACUCUCUGUAGUGUUGUCACAUCACGUUUGACACGUCCUCCAUCUUGUUGACCCUUGCGUCUCAGUGGUGCCGUUUUGUGCUGGUGGAUUUGUGUUGUUUAGCCGAUGUGAUACGUUAAGUGGUGUCUUUGUAAAAAAAACUAACAAACUUGUCCUGUGGCUGAGAGUGCUGGUCGUACUGUUAGGCAACACACACUCAUUGUGGGCUUCACGGCGUAACUCAGUGUUCUGUUCAUGUUGUUUUUCUAGCCAAAUGUAAGUGAAGGCGUUGGCGAAUCGAGAGUGGUUCUGUGGGGGCUGUCAGCAUUGAUCUCAUAUCUGUCCCUGCUUUUCUUUGGGUACUUAUGAUUAUACACCUUUUGCAUCUUAAGAAUACAAAUUUUAUUU